GCGCCGUUAGCUCAAUGGUAGAGCACCUGACUCUUAAUCAGAUGGUUGGAGGUUCAAGUCCUCCACGGCGUA
rnacentral:tRNA from 1 species